rnacentral:lncRNA from 1 species
GCCGUGCAGGACACUGACGGUGCCCUGGAGUCAUUUAAACAACCCAUGCUGUAGAAAGGGCAGUGUCCAGCCCUGAAGCCCUGGAGAGCCACCAUGUCCCCAUCAGGGAGGAGCCCAACUGUGCAGACAGCUUGAGAGGCCGGCAUCAAGGAGAGGAGGAUGAACAGAAAGAGGGAUGUGAGGCCACCCCGUGGGCUGGGACCAUGUGCCCACUCUGCCCUCACCUGCCAGGUGAGGACACAGAAGCAUGCGUGGGCCAGCGCCUCGCCCAGCCGCGCCCCUGCGGACCCCAGCCAGGAGCUCCUCCUUCCUCUCUAAGGACCACCGCUGCCGCCUACCUGUGCGAGCUGAGCGCGCAGCGCCGCGAGCUCCCCCUGCAGACGCGCCCGCUCGGUGCGCAGCGCCGCCGUCUGCUCCUGCAGGACGCGCCUCUCCGCAUGCGCCUCGGCCGCCUC